CCUGAUGCAGCCAUGCCCGCGUGUAUGAAGAAGGCCUUCGGGUUGUAAAGUACCUUCAGCAGUGAGGAAGGUGGGUGUGUUAAUAGCCCAUUCAUUUGACGUUAGCUGCAGAAAAAAGCACCGGCUAACUCCGUGCCAGCAGCCGCGGUAAUACGGAGGGUGCGAGCGUUAAUCGGAAUUACUGGGCGUAAAGCGCAUGCAGGUGGUUUGUUAAGUCAGAGUGAAAGCCCGGGGCUCAACCUCGGAAUUGCAUUUGAAACUGGCAGACUAGAGUACUGUAGAGGGGGGUAGAAUUUCAGGUGUAGCGGUGAAAUGCGUAGAGAUCUGCAGUUAUGGGAGGUGGCGAAGCCGGCCCCCUGGACAGAUACUGACACUCAGAUGCGAAAGCGUGGGGAGCAAACAGGAUUAGAUACCCUGGUAGUCCACGCCGUAAACGAUGUCUACUUGGAGGUUGUGGCCUUGAGCCGUGGCUUUCGGAGCUAACGCGUUAAGUAGACCGCCUGGGGAG
rnacentral:rRNA from 1 species